GAUGAACGCUGGCGGCGUGCCUAAUACAUGCAAGUCGAGCGAACAGAUGAGGAGCUUGCUCCUCUGACGUUAGCGGCGGACGGGUGAGUAACACGUGGAUAACCUACCUAUAAGACUGGGAUAACUUCGGGAAACCGGAGCUAAUACCGUAUAAUAUAUUGAACCGCAUGGUUCAAUAGUGAAAGACGGUUUUGCUGUCACUUAUAGAUGGAUCCGCGCCGCUGUAGAUGGUUGGUAAGGUAACGGCUUACCAAGGCAACGAUGCGUAGCCGACCUGAGAGGGUGAUCGGCGACACUGGAGCUGAGACACGGUCCAGACUCCUACGGGAGGCAGCAGUAGGGAAUCUUACGCAAUGGGCGAAAGCCUGACGGAGCAACGCCGCGUGAGUGAUGAAGGUCUUCGGAUCGUAAAACUCUGUUAUUAGGGAAGAACAAAUGUGUAAGUAACUAUGCACGUCUUGACGGUACCUAGUCAGAAAGCCACGGCUAACUACGUG
rnacentral:rRNA from 1 species